rnacentral:rRNA from 1 species
GAUGAACGCUGGCGGCGUGCUUAACACAUGCAAGUCGAACGAUGAAGCCCAGCUUGCUGGGUGGAUUAGUGGCGAACGGGUGAGUAACACGUGAGUAACCUGCCCUUAACUCUGGGAUAAGCCUGGGAAACUGGGUCUAAUACCGGAUAGGAGCGCCUACCGCAUGGUGGGUGUUGGAAAGAUUUAUCGGUUUUGGACGGACUCGCGGCCUAUCAGCUUGUUGGUGAGGUAAUGGCUCACCAAGGCGACGACGGGUAGCCGGCCUGAGAGGGUGACCGGCCACACUGGGACUGAGACACGGCCCAGACUCCUACGGGAGGCAGCAGUGGGGAAUAUUGCACAAUGGGCGAAAGCCUGAUGCAGCGACGCCGCGUGAGGGAUGACGGCCUUCGGGUUGUAAACCUCUUUCAGUAGGGAAGAAGCGAAAGUGACGGUACCUGCAGAAGAAGCACCGGCUAACUACGUG